rnacentral:lncRNA from 7 species
GGGUAUCUUGCCUGAAGGUCCCUUCCUACUUGAGGCCUUCUGAAGAUAAGUCUGACUUCCUUAAAUUGUGACAUUUCAAUGGACAAGUAAAGUUGUUCAGAGGACACUGGGAAAACCAGGAGUGAUAUGAAGACUUUCCUUGACUUUUCUGUGCUGAUACAGACUGCUUGGAAUAAUCGGUGAGACUUCUCCAGGAUAUCGAAGCCCAGGAAGAAAGGAAAUUGAAAUGGUUCUUCUAUGUUUUUUCUUCCCUCUUUUUAAAAACAAUGUCACUCAAGAAAAUAGACACAUUAGAGGCUGUAAGGACAAAGAAACUGCCACUCUGAUGUGACGUUUUGACUCCAGAUGUUAGAAAAAUGUCAGCAAAUUGUUCCUACCAAACACACAGAGUCUUUGCUGUCGGAAGCUAUGGAUUGUCUGUCUUAAGACAGAUUCUUUGAACUCUAUUGAUUCCAAUGGGAAGUCCCACUGCAAAAUGUAAGAAGCCCGACUGUAUUCCCCUUGUUACUCGUGAGCCUUGCAAGCCAGACAGUUCACAGGAAAAGGACGAAGAAGAGAUCUAAAAGGAUUAUAUCAUUCUUCUAAAUCACCCUUUGCUAUGCUUAAGGGAGUAUAUCCUAUCUUAAGCAACUGACUUGACAUAAUUCCCUGGAGAUUCAGCUGAAGCUGUUCUUGUGUUGCACAGCAGAUAAUAGCACUGGGGUUUUGAGAUGCCUGUUCUUCUUGCCUGUAAUUUAGGCAGUCUUAGGAAGAGCACAAACUGUGACAUUUUGUAUUUGCUGAAAACCUCUUUAAAGGUGAGUAGACCAGCUACUGUAUCUCACAGCAUAAACGGACUCAAGAAGUGUGACUCAGUGAGCCUCAUGAGGUUCAACAAAGUCAAGCACAAGGUUUUGCACUGUGGUCAUGCCAACCUUCACUAUCAUUACAUGCUGGACGGAAAAAGGAUUGAGCACAGCCCCACGGAAAAGGCUUUGGGGGUACCUCUGCACAGCAAGCUGAAUGUGAGCCAGCAAUGUGCCUUCACAGCCCAGAAAGGCAACCACAUCCUGGGCUGCAUCCAAACAAGUAGGACCAGCAGGUCAAGGAAGGUGAUCCUGACCCUCUGCUUUGUGCCAGUGAGACCUCACUUGGAGUUCUGUGUCCAAAUGCAGAGUCCAGAGUAGGGGAGAGACAUGCACCUGUUGAAGUUCAUCCAGAGGGGGGGGCCCAGGAACAAUCCAAGGGAUGGAGCACCUCUCCUAUGAGGAUAGGC